rnacentral:rRNA from 1 species
CGGAACACGUACGCAACCUUCCUUUAACUGGAGAAUAGCCCCUCGAAAGAGGGAUUAAUACUCCGUAACAUAUAGAUGUGGCAUCACAAUUAUAUUAUAGCUCCGACGGUUAAAGAUGGGCGUGCGCCUGAUUAGAUAGUUGGCAGGGUAACGGCCUACCAAGUCUGCGAUCAGUAACUGGUGUGAGAGCACGACCAGUCACACGGGCACUGAGGCACGGGCCCG